rnacentral:sRNA from 1 species
UACCGUAAAUAUAUUGCCUGAACCGCUC